UUAGAGUUUGAUCCUGGCUCAGGAUGAACGCUAGCUACAGGCUUAACACAUGCAAGUCGAGGGGCAGCGAUGAAGAAAGCUUGCUUUCUUCAGGCGGCGACCGGCGCACGGGUGAGUAACGCGUAUCGAACCUGCCUCAUACUCAGGAAUAGCCUUGCGAAAGUAAGAUUAAUGCCCGAUGUUAUUAGAAUAUCACAUGGUAUUUUAAUUAAAGAUUUAUCGGUAUGAGAUGGCGAUGCGUCCCAUUAGCUUGUUGGCGGGGUAACGGCCCACCAAGGCAUCGAUGGGUAGGGGUUCUGAGAGGAAGGUCCCCCACAUUGGAACUGAGACACGGUCCAAACUCCUACGGGAGGCAGCAGUGAGGAAUAUUGGUCAAUGGACGCAAGUCUGAACCAGCCAAGUAGCGUGCAGGAAGACGGCCCUCUGGGUUGUAAACUGCUUUUAGUUGGGAAUAAAGUGCACCACGCGUGGUGUUUUGUAUGUACCAUCAGAAAAAGGACCGGCUAAUUCCGUGCCAGCAGCCGCGGUAAUACGGAAGGUCCAGGCGUUAUCCGGAUUUAUUGGGUUUAAAGGGAGCGCAGGCGGACCUUUAAGUCAGCUGUGAAAUACGGCGGCUCAACCGUCGAACUGCAGUUGAUACUGGAGGUCUUGAGUGCACACAGGGAUACUGGAAUUCAUGGUGUAGCGGUGAAAUGCUCAGAUAUCAUGAAGAACUCCGAUCGCGAAGGCAGGUAUCCGGGGUGCAACUGACGCUGAGGCUCGAAAGUGCGGGUAUCAAACAGGAUUAGAUACCCUGGUAGUCCGCACGGUAAACGAUGGAUGCCCGCUGUUGGUCUGAAUAGGUCAGCGGCCAAGCGAAAGCAUUAAGCAUCCCACCUGGGGAGUACGCCGGCAACGGUGAAACUCAAAGGAAUUGACGG
rnacentral:rRNA from 1 species